AACAGUUCUCUCAUAUGCUAAAACUAUUGUGAUUCUUGUGCACAAGGAGCAUCACACCAACCUCUUGCAUUGGACAUAUUGGGCUAAGUUCCAAUAGACCCUACUACUACAGGAAGAACUUACUCUGAACCCCUUUUUCUUCCUUUCUAAUUUUUUUUUUUGUUUCUGAUUAAACUCAAAAGUCCCACACAACCUACUCUUGCAGCCCCAUAACCGAUUCUAAGGGACUAUCAGCCUAACUUUCACCCUCACUACGGCACAGUUUUGAACAGCAAAUAUCUCUUAAAAAACUCUUCUCAGAAGCAUCCAAAUGCAGUGAAAACCUCUCACACCAUUGGUACCUACUCCUGCACUCAUUUGGGGCAAUAUGAGCAACAUACACGUGCAGUUAAGCAUCCAAAAUUCUGAAGAAAGCACAAAGUGUGGGUGGGUGUAAUGGUGGAUGGGUAAUUGAAAUACUAUAUAGGUGGAGAAGCUUAAAAAAAAUAAACCUUGAUCAACUAGAUUACCAUUUCAAACCGUAUAGCAAAAGGCCACUAAGAAAAUAUAACAAUACUGUCAUCUAAACCUGAUAGAAAAUAGCUGGCCAAUCAAUUACACUAUGAACUUAUAAUACA